CCUACGGGUGGCAGCAGUGAGGAAUAUUGGUCAAUGGACGAGAGUCUGAACCAGCCAAGUAGCGUGAAGGAUGACUGCCCUAUGGGUUGUAAACUUCUUUUAUAUGGGAAUAAAAUGUUCCACGUGUGGGAUUUUGUAUGUAUCAUAUGAAUAAGGAUCGGCUAACUCCGUGCCAGCAGCCGCGGUAAUACGGAGGAUCCGAGCGUUAUCCGGAUUUAUUGGGGUUAAAGGGAGCGUAGGUGGAUUGGUAAGUCAGUUGUGAAAGUUUGCGGCUCAACCGUAAAAUUGCAGUUGAAACUGGCAGUCUUGAGUACAGUAGAGGUGGGCGGAAUGCGUGGUGUAGCGGUGAAAUGCUUAGAUAUCACGAAGAACUCCGAUUGCGAAGGCAGUUCACUGGACUGCAACUGACACUGAGGCUCGAAAGUGUGGGUAUCAAACAGGAUUAGAGACCCCUGUAGUC
rnacentral:rRNA from 1 species